AAAUUAUUACCGACUGUCACUAGAGCAAAUGAUAAAGAGCUUGAUAAUUGGUACCCGAGACCUAAGUUCGAAUCUUACUUGAGUCACAUUUCCAGCUAAGUUUAUUUCUAAAUGAAAUAAACGAAGCGGAUAACGUGCUAUCUAUCUCUCAAAUAAAAAAAAUAAAUAGAAAAUUAUUGUAUGAAAUUACAUAUUGUUAACUUUCAUAGUUCAUUUAGAAAAAAUACCAAACGAACGGUAAAAGAAAUAAAUGCAGAAAGAAGAAAUCAAGAUUUACGCGGUUCGGCAAUCCCCUACGUCCACGGGAAGAGCGAGAGAGAUGUAUUCCAGUAUAUGAAGAAAUAGAAGUACAAGCUUACACCUUAUAUCUUCUCCGGAUAAAAAACCAAGAACCUUAUGGUGAAUCCCACCUUUCUUGUUCCAACGAAAACUCCAAGAAAAUACCGAAAAAGCUUUUCGUAAAACCGAGAAGACCAAAUUAGAGAAGUAUAGAAACUCUAACCAAAUUCCUUUAUGCCGUUGCUUCGAAGAAUCCGAACCGCUCAGGCAAUUGGUCAAGAACCGCUGCUCCGCC
rnacentral:lncRNA from 1 species